rnacentral:misc_RNA from 1 species
AACGGUCUAUACCUGCGGUACCUGCGGAGGGAUCGUUAGUGAACGCCCUCACGGGCUUAUAACUAUUCCAAACCUCUGUGAACCGUGCCCUUCGGGGCUAUUUUACAAACAUGGUGUAAUGAACGUCAUAUAUCAUAACAAAACAAAACUUUCAGCAACGGAUCUCU